AACUGGUGAUGAUAAUCUUAAGGCUUGUUUCUCAGAAACAUUCGCAGUGGCCGACUAAGAGCUUUCGCCUUCGCCAGGCUUGAGAGCUUGUGCUGUCUUGCUCCUUCCUUCCUUGGAUGUCUGAACUUUCAAUAUAUAUAUAUAUAUUAUUUAUUUAUGGAGAUUAAGUGUGGGUUUCUCAAUGAUGAUUUCAAUAGAUGACGAGUCUGAUGUAAUAUCCAUUCCAUUCAUUAUGAAGACGAAUCGAGGCAUUUGUCUGAGAGCCAACCCAUAUACUCACCCCCUUUGUUUUUCAUUUUUUAAAAAAUUUUUGCUAAUUAAUUUUGAUUUUUUUUAAUGGCCGAUGAUUAAAUUCAAAUUAAUGACAAGCAUAUGUCUGAAUAAAUAAAUGUUGUUAAUCUCCUCAAUGAGGCCACAUUCAUUUUGAAUUUUUGAUGCCGAUGAGAAAUAGAUUUUUAUUUUUAUUUUUUUAAAUAAAUUUAUGGUUUUUGAUUUAAUUGUUGAUGAUUUUGAGGAGUUCAGAUGAUGAUCAAUUGCAUAGUUCAAAUGAAUGUUUGUGAUUAGAAAAGUUUUAGUCUUUCCGAUGAACUCACAUUUUUUUUAUGUUUUUUAAUUUAAUAAUGAUUUAGUGGGAUAAUGACGACUCCAUGUGAUAAGGUCUCGUUCGACGUAAUGGUGAUUAACAGUCACCUUGCCGACCAUCCUGUUAUAUCACCACCCAUAAACUGAAUCC
rnacentral:lncRNA from 1 species